GACAAACUUAGUAUAUUCAAAAGGUUUUCUCUUGUAAAUGUUUGUGACGUAGUAAAAGUUACGAAUGGUUCCACAUAUUACUUAAGAACUAACUAAAGUUGCGAAUGAAGAACUAACUAUAGUUCGUUCAAGUAUAAUGGAUCAACAGCGUGGUGGCUGUGUGAGCCAUAUGAAAAACAUUAUGACAGUGCUGCGGUGAAGGUAUCUAAGUGGCGAGGUGGCCAUUUAGAUAGUUAAAGAGGGACUGUCUGUAGAGCGAGGUGGCCGAACAGACAAUAAAAGGCGAGGUGGCCUAUAUAGAGGCGAGGUGGCCUGUAUAGUGGCGAGGUGGCCAUUUAGAUACUUAAAGAACUGUCUGUAAGGCGAGGUGGCCGAACAGACAAUAAAAGGCGAGGUGGCCUGAAUAGUGGCGAGUUGGCCAUUUAGAUACUUUAAGAACUGUCUGUAAGGCGAAGUGGCCGAACAGACAAUAAAAGGCGAGGUGGCCUUAUAAACUAUAUAGGGGCAAGGUGGCUAUUUCAUUAAUAUUGAGUCAGUUUAGUAAACAGCGUGGAGGCAAUUUAUUACACAAAUUUUGAUGUUCAUUGAGAUUGAGAAUUUAACGCUUAUCAGACUAUAUUGGAGUAGAAGAUGAUAAUGACCAUAUUCUAUUUGGUCAGGAG
rnacentral:misc_RNA from 1 species